rnacentral:rRNA from 1 species
AUUGAACGCUGGCGGCAGGCCUAACACAUGCAAGUCGAACGGUAACAGGAAGAAGCUUGCCUCUUUGCUGACGAGUGGCGGACGGGUGAGAAAUGUCUGGGAAACUGCCUGAUGGAGGGGGAUAACUCCUGGAAACGGUAGCUAAAACCGCAUAACGUCGCAAGACCAAAGAGGGGGACCUUCGGGCCUCUUGCCAUCGGAUGUGCCCAGAUGGGAUUAGCUAGUAGGUGGGGUAACGGCUCACCUAGGCGACGAUCCCUAGCUGGUCUGAGAGGAUGACCAGCCACACUGGAACUGAGACACGGUCCAGACUCCUACGGGAGGCAGCAGUGGGGAAUAUUGCACAAUGGGCGCAAGCCUGAUGCAGCCAUGCCGCGUGUAUGAAGAAGGCCUUCGGGUUGUAAAGUACUUUCAUCGGGGAAGAAGAGAGUAAAGUUAAUACCUUUGCUCAUUGACGUUACCCGCAGAAGAAGCACCGGCUAACUCCGUG